UGCAAGUCGUACGGGAUCCGAGGUAGCAAUACUUUGGUGAGAGUGGCGCACGGGUGCGUAACACGUAUGCAACCUACCUAUAACCGGGACACAACCCACCGAAAGGUGAGCUAAUAUCCCAUAACACUGCGUUGAGGCAUCUCAGUGCAGUUAAAACUCCGGUGGUUAUAGAUGGGCAUGCGCGACAUUAGCUAGUUGGUGAGGUAACGGCCCACCAAGGCUACGAUGUCUAGGGGUUCUGAGAGGAUUAUCCCCCACACUGGUACUGAGACACGGACCAGACUCCUACGGGAGGCAGCAGUAAGGAAUAUUGGUCAAUGGGCGCAAGCCUGAACCAGCCAUGCCGCGUGAAGGAUGAAGGCCCUAUGGGUUGUAAACUCCUUUUGUACGGGAAAAAACCACCGGUCGAGUAUCGGUGCUGAUGGUACCGUAAGAAUAAGCAUCGGCUAACUCCGUGCCAGCAGCCGCGGUAAUACGGAGGAUGCAAGCGUUAUCCGGAUUCAUUGGGUUUAAAGGGUGCGCAGGCGGAGUGAUAAGUCAGUGGUGAAAGCCUACAGCUUAACUGUAGAACUGCCAUUGAUACUGUCAUUCUUGAGUAUUGUUGAGGUAGGCGGAAUGUGUCAUGUAGCGGUGAAAUGCUUAGAUAUGACACAGAACACCGAUCGCGAAGGCAGCUUACCAAGCAAUAACUGACGCUCAUGCACGAAAGCGUGGGGAUCAAACAGGAUUAGAUACCCUGGUAGUCCA
rnacentral:rRNA from 1 species